GAGUUUGAUCCUGGCUCAUUUAACGCUGGCGGUAGGCCUAACACAUGCAGGGGAACGGCAGCACAGGAGAGCUUGCUCUCUGGGUGGCGAGUGGCGGACGGGUGAGGAAUACAUCGGAAUCUACCUUUUCGUGGGGGAUAACGUAGGGAAACUUACGCUAAUACCGCAUAAGACCUUCGGGUGAAAGCCGGGGACCUUCGGCCUGGCGCGGAUAGAUGAGCCGAUGUCGGAUUAGCUUGUUGGCGGGGUAAAAGCCCACCAAGGCGACGAUCCGUAGCUGGUCUGAGAGGAUGAUCAGCCACACUGGAACUGAGACACGGUCCAGACUCCUACGGGAGGCAGCAGUGGGGAAUAUUGGACAAUGGGCGCAAGCCUGAUCCAGCCAUACCGCGUGGGUGAAGAAGGCCUUCGGGUUGUAAAGCCCUUUUGUUGGGAAAGAAAUCCUGCCGGUAAUAACCAAGAGGGAUGACGGUACCCAAAGAAUAAGCACCGGCUAACUUGUGCCAGCAGCCGCGGUAAUACGAAGGGUGCAAGCGGUACCGGAAUUACUGGGCGUAAAGCGUCCGAGGUGGUGGUUAAACUGUUGUGAAAAGCCCUGGCUCACCUGGGAAUUGCAAUGGAUACUGGGCCGACUAGAGGCGUUAAAGGACAGAGGGAAUUUCGGGGUACGCGAAGCGUGGGUCGGGACCC
rnacentral:rRNA from 1 species